GUGAGAUCAAGAGGCGGGCCCUCCGAGGCGAGGGAGGUGCGGAAGGAAAUACAGAGGACAGAGGAACAUAUUUAGCUGCACCAUGAACAUGUACUCAGCAAAAUCCAUGUUGUGGGGAACUCUACAGUCAAGGUCAAACUCUACAGGUCAAUGUAUUCUUCAACAGAUUCAUUGAAGAAAUUGCCAUCUGUCAAAGAAAGCCUGCUGGGAUCAAUGUAACACCACUCCCCAAGGGCAGCUUGCUUCCCUUGGUACAACC